AACGCAUUAAGCACUCCGCCUGGGGAGUACGACCGCAAGGUUGAAACUCAAAGGAAUUGACGGGGGCCCGCACAAGCGGUGGAGCAUGUGGUUUAAUUCGAAGCAACGCGAAGAACCUUACCAGGUCUUGACAUCCUUUGACCACUCUAGAGAUAGAGCUUUCCCUUCGGGGACAAAGUGACAGGUGGUGCAUGGUUGUCGUCAGCUCGUGUCGUGAGAUGUUGGGUUAAGUCCCGCAACGAGCGCAACCCUUAUUGUUAGUUGCCAUCAUUUAGUUGGGCACUCUAGCGAGACUGCCGGUGACAAACCGGAGGAAGGUGGGGAUGACGUCAAAUCAUCAUGCCCCUUAUGACCUGGGCUACACACGUGCUACAAUGGGAAGUACAACGAGUCGCUAGACCGCGAGGUCAUGCAAAUCUCUUAAAGCUUCUCUCAGUUCGGAUUGCAGGCUGCAACUCGCCUGCAUGAAGCCGGAAUCGCUAGUAAUCGCGGAUCAGCACGCCGCGGUGAAUACGUUCCCGGGCCUUGUACACACCGCCCGUCACACCACGAGAGUUUGUAACACCCGAAGUCGGUGAGGUAACCUUUUAGGAGCCAGCCGCCUAAGGUGGGAUAGAUGAUUGGGGUGAAGUCGUAACAAGGUAGCCGUAUCGGAAGGUGCGGCUG
rnacentral:rRNA from 1 species